rnacentral:rRNA from 1 species
UCGGGAAUUUUGGGCAAUGGGCGAAAGCCUGACCCAGCAACGCCGCGUGAAGGAUGAAGUAUUUCGGUAUGUAAACUUCGAAAGAAUAGGAAGAAUAAAUGACGGUACUAUUUAUAAGGUCCGGCUAACUACGUGCCAGCAGCCGCGGUAAUACGUAGGGACCAAGCGUUGUUCGGAUUUACUGGGCGUAAAGGGCGCGUAGGCGGCCCCGCAAGUCACUUGUGAAAUCUCUGGGCUUAACCCAGAACGGCCAAGUGAAACUGCAGGGCUAGAGUGUAGAAGGGGCAAUCGGAAUUCUUGGUGUAGCGGUGAAAUGCGUAGAUAUCAAGAGGAACACCUGAGGUGAAGACGGGUUGCUGGUCUAACACUGACGCUGAGGCGCGAAAGCCAGGGGAGCAAACGG